rnacentral:rRNA from 1 species
AUUGAACGCUGGCGGCAGGCCUAACACAUGCAAGUCGAGCGGAUGAAGGGAGCUUGCUCCUGGAUUCAGCGUCGGACGGGUGAGUAAUGCCUAGGAAUCUGCCUGGUAGUGGGGGAUAACGUCCGGAAACGGGCGCUAAUACCGCAUACGUCCUGAGGGAGGAAUUUGGGGAUCUUCGGAUCUCACUCUAUCAGAUUAGGCUAGGUCGGAUUAGCUAGCUGGUGGGGUAAAGGCCUACCAAGGCGACGAUCCGUAACUGGUCUGAGAUGAUGAUCAGUCACACUGGAACUGAGACCCGGUCCAGACUCCUACGGGAGGCAGCCGUGGGGACUAUUCGACGAUGGGCGAAAGUCUGAUCUAGCCAUGCCGAGUGUUUGAAGAAGGUCUUCGGAUUGUAAAGCACUUUAAGUUGGGAGGAAGGGCAGUAAGUUAAUACCUUGCUGUAUUGGCGUUAACAACAGAAUAAGCACCGGCUAACUUAGUG